rnacentral:rRNA from 1 species
UACGUAGGGGCCUAGCGUUGUCCGGAUUUAUUGGGCGUAAAGAGCUCGUAGGCGGCUUGGUAAGUCAGGUGUGAAAUCUCCACGCUCAACGUGGAGGGGCCACCCGAAACUGCCAUGGCUUGAGUCCGGUAGGGGAGUGUGGAAUUCCCGGUGUAGCGGUGGAAAUGCGCAGAUAUCGGGAGGAACACCCGUAGCGAAGGCGGCACUCUGGGCCGGUACUGACGCUGAGGAGCGAAAGCGUGGGGAGCAAACAGG